rnacentral:lncRNA from 1 species
GUUCAGUAGUGCAGCUUGGGAGCUGAACAGAGCACAGCACAUACCUUUGUAUAGGGAUGUUUCACAAAAAAAAGCAGAGGAAGACCAGAUUACUUUUACUUCAGAGCAGUGAAACACCCUUUUGGCUGUUACAAGUUUUCAAGGAGCCACUUAAACAGGUAGAAUACAAAUUUGAAUGAAAAAGAUCUGACCCAUUUUCACCCUGUUUCACUUUAGGACAAGCUCUGGGUAUGUUCCAGGCAUUUCUAAAGUCCCUCACUGGUUUUUUUUCCUCACCCCCUUCCUUCCAAUUUGGUCCCUAAACACAUUAAUUUGUUCCUAGAAAUUAUUUACUUGUUUGUUGUGUUUUGGGUUGGUUUUUUGUUUGUUUGUUCAUUUUUCACACAGAAACCCUCAGACCAAAGCAAACAGUGCCACAGAAAAAUGUUGCAAUUCAACCCAAUUUUGAGGGAAAUGCCCCUGAUAACUUCUCAGCUCCAAAGAGAAGCAGUGGAGACUGGGGCCACUGAGUCUCCAUGGAAAUCACGAAGGUAUGUGUGAAAAUGGCUGGGGAACCUUUAUUGGGAGUUAUACUGAAGGUUACUUCACACAACCACAGACUGGGCUUCAGCAGUUGCAGCAGAUAAGUUUUUACCAUGGACCCUGUGUAAAGAAGAGACCUAUCAAGGAGAAUGAAGGCUUGUUCUUCUGCCAGUUCACUUGCUACUUAGCCCAGGGUGAGCACUUUUGGCUCAGACUUUCAGGAGCGGUCACUCUGUCCCCAAGCCCAUUAAUGUGACAUUAUUUUAUGCUCAAUGCUAUCAACAGCCCCAAAGGAGAUGGACAGACAUUAGCUCCCAGCCAGGCAUCUCCAGGCUCUUCCAAGGGGAGCCAAGUGCCCUGGCCAUGCUCUGGCUC